AGAGUGAACACUGGCGGUAGGCCUAACACAUGCAAGUCGAACGGCAGCACAGUGGUAGCAAUACCAUGGGUGGCGAGUGGCGGACGGGUGAGGAAUACAUCGGAAUCUACCUUUUCGUGGGGGAUAACGUAGGGAAACUUACGCUAAUACCGCAUACGCCCUUCGGGGGAAAGCCGGGGAUCGCAAGACCUGGCGCGGAUAGAUGAGCCGAUGUCGGAUUAGCUAGUUGGUGAGGUAAUGGCUCACCAAGGCGACGAUCCGUAGCUGGUCUGAGAGGAUGAUCAGCCACACUGGAACUGAGACACGGUCCAGACUCCUACGGGAGCAGCGAGUGGGGAAUAUUGGACAAUGGGCGCAAGCCUGAUCCAGCCAUACCGCGUGGGUGAAGAAGGCCGUUCGGUUGUAAAGUCCCUUUUGGUUAGGGAAAGAAAGCAAGUCGGUUAAAUACCCGGUUGUUCUAGACGUACCAAAGAAUAAGCACCGGACUAACGUCGUGACCAGCCAGCCGGUAAUCUA
rnacentral:rRNA from 1 species